rnacentral:rRNA from 1 species
CGGGUAGCCGGCCUGAGAGGGUGUACGGCCACAUUGGGACUGAGAUACGGCCCAGACUCCUACGGGAGGCAGCAGUGGGGAAUAUUGCACAAUGGGCGCAAGCCUGAUGCAGCGACGCCGCGUGGGGGAUGACGGCCUUCGGGUUGUAAACCUCUUUCAGUUGGGACGAAGCCCUUCGGGGUGACGGUACCUUCAGAAGAAGCACCGGCUAACUACGUGCCAGCAGCCGCGGUAAUACGUAGGGUGCAAGC